UACGAAGGGGGCUAGCGUUGCUCGGAAUGACUGGGCGUAAAGGGCGCGUAGGCGGUUUGUCGCGUCGGCUGUGAAAGCCCGGAGCUCAACUCCGGGUCUGCAGUCGAUACGGGCAGACUUGAGUGUUGCAGGGGAGACUGGAAUUCCUGGUGUAGCGGUGAAAUGCGCAGAUAUCAGGAGGAACACCGGUGGCGAAGGCGGUUCUCUGGGCAUGUCCUGACGUGAGGAGCGAAAGUGUGGGGAGCGAACAGG
rnacentral:rRNA from 1 species